rnacentral:rRNA from 1 species
GACGAACGCUGGCGGCGUGCUUAACACAUGCAAGUCGAACGGUGAAGCGCCUUCCUUUUUGGUGGGUGUGGAUGAGUGGCGAACGGGUGAGUAACACGUGAGUAACCUGCCCCCUUCUUCUGGAUAACCGCAUGAAAGUGUGGCUAAUACGGGAUAUUCUGGGUCUGUCGCAUGAUGGGUCUGGGAAAGAUAUUGUUUCGGUGGGGGAUGGGCUCGCGGCCUAUCAGCUUGUUGGUGGGGUGAUGGCCUACCAAGGCGGUGACGGGUAGCCGGCCUGAGAGGGUGGACGGUCACACUGGGACUGAGACACGGCCCAGACUCCUACGGGAGGCAGCAGUGGGGAAUAUUGCACAAUGGGCGCAAGCCUGAUGCAGCGACGCCGCGUGAGGGAUGGAGGCCUGCGGGUUGUGAACCUCUUUCGCCAGUGAAGCAGGCCUGCCUCGUUUGUGGGCGGGUUGACGGUAGCUGGAUAAGAAGCGCCGGCUAACUACGUG